rnacentral:rRNA from 1 species
UUAAACUGAAGAGUUUGAUCAUGGCUCAGAUUGAACGCUGGCGGCAGGCCUAACACAUGCAAGUCGAGCGGCAGCGGGAGGUGCUUGCACCUCGCCGGCGAGCGGCGGACGGGUGAGUAAUGCAUAGGAAACUGCCCGGUAGUGGGGGAUAACCUGGGGAAACCCAGGCUAAUACCGCAUACGUCCUACGGGAGAAAGCAGG